CGCCUGCUGGCGCUCCAGCCUUUGUUCGAUCUCUAGGUAUUCUUCUUGCUAGAGAUCUAGGGUUGUAAAGGAUGUUCUUAUCGCGAUCUUGCCAAGGUUUUUUAAUGCUGCACGCAUUCAUUGUUUUCUCCACCUUGGAUUCAUUCCAUUCUUGGAAUUUUCGCUUUAAUCAAUGAUCGCUGUCGUGUUAUUUCUUCCACAGCUCUCACACCUCUCGAUCGCGCUCGAAAAUGAAGAGCUGCGCGAUCGGAAGCGCAAGCACCAGCAAAGAAACGAAUCAAGCUCGGGAGUGUCCAGACCAUCUCCUGGUGCUUGUACACGGAAUUCUUUCGAGCCCAAGCGAUUGGAAGUACUUCAAGCAAGAGUUGAAAGCUCGGCUUGGAAGCAAGUUCUAUAUUCAUGCGAGCUCGGUAAAUUCAUACCUGCAAACUCUGACUGGAAUCGAUAUGGCCGGGAAGCGAUUGGCCGAUGAGGUCUCGGAAGUUGUCCAAAAACAUCCUCAACUCCAAAGAAUAUCGUUUGUAGCGCAUUCACUUGGGGGACUUUUCGCUCGCUAUGCAAUUGGGAUUCUUUACUUGCCGUUGCAGCCUUCGAAGAAGUUGAUGAACCCGUCAAUAACAGGACUUGAUCCGGUUAGUUUCAUCACGCUCGCCACACCACAUUUGGGUGUACGAGGACGGCAACAGCUGCCAUUUCUUAUGGGUGUUCCUGUAUUGGAGAAGAUUGCCGCUCCAAUCGCUCCUUUUAUUGUAGGUAGGACAGGACGUCAGCUUUUCUUAACUGAUGGCAAGGCCAGUGAUCCGCCUUUGCUCCUGCGAAUGGCAACGGACUGUGAACAAGGACAAUUUAUAUCUGCAUUGAGAGCCUUCAAGCUACGAGCUGUUUAUGCCAAUGUCAGCUACGACCACAUGGUUGGCUGGCGUACCUCCUCCAUUCGAAGGGAGUCGGAGCUCUCGAAGCCUCCUCGCAAAUCGCUCGAAGGAUACAAACACGUGGUGAACGUCAGGUAUUGUCCAGCAAUUCAGAGUGACGGGCCUUCUUUCGAGGACAACACCGCCGGAGCGAAAGAAGCGGCACAGAAACAGCCGAGCAGCAUAGAAGCUAAGGAAUACCACGACAUACUUGAAGAGGAGAUGGUAAGAGGCUUGCAACAAGUCAGCUGGCAGAAGGUUGACGUGAGCUUCCAUUCUGCGAUAUGGCCGUUUUUCGCGCACAACAACAUCCAUGUUAAGCAGGAAUGGUUGCAUUACGAGGGAGCGGGCGUUGUUUCUCAUGUGGCAGACACGCUAAAACAGCAAGAACAUGGUGCGUUCCUGGAGGCGAAUCUCUGAAUGAAUUUGUGCGUUUCGAAAGCGGCUACGUGUGAAUGCGAGUGGCGAUUGAGGUCAUGGUUACCUGAGCUACAAACAUACAGGCAAGAAAAAGGCUAUUCCAUUUCAGGCGGGUGUGAAAUUUUCAUGGAAUAGCAAAAUGCUGGAAGGUGGAAGCGCCCACCAAUGUUCUUGCAAUUGUGAUAUCUGAUACAUCUGAUACCAAAUCUUUCGUUUUCAUGUGAUCAAA